rnacentral:lncRNA from 1 species
CCCCCCCCCCAAUUAUCGUUCUGGCUACGCCACUGUAACAGAAUGAAAUAGAAUAAUGAAACAAUUAUGAAAAUUAUAUAUAACGAGCCGAAAACCAAAGGCGCUUUGGGCAAGUCUGCGCCAGCGAUUGACCAGCAAGAGUAGAAUGAAAUAAUUAUGACAAUGAUUGUACAAAUAGCUACUCCAAAUGAAGAUUUUGGCGUUUAAAUUGCGCGAAUAAUUAUAAAUAAAAGGCAAAAGACAACAAACCUCCAGCCAUUAUAAUAUUCGUUUAUUUCUUUUCACGAUUUACAGCAUAUAUUUUGUGCUAAGUAUAUUCCCUGAUCUCAAGUAAGACCUGACUUGUUUUCCAAAAUAUCAAAAUGUUAUUGACAACAAAAUCAAAAAUAAGUAAAAGCUCACCGUAGUAAAGUAUUUGGCAAGGUUAAAUUUGCGCGAUGAGCAAACCAGAAAACAUUUUGCCUGCGGAAUAUAAAUUAUGUCUGGCUAAAAUGCUGAUCUACAAGUGGCAAUGCGCCUUGAGGCGCCUUGCUUUAUUAUUUUUCUCUGUCUAACGCCAGACAAUUUUCGCGUCAAGGGGAGAGUCAUGCUGGCAUGCUUAAAUGAAUGAAGAAAACAAUGUUUUCGAGACAGCAAUCAUCGUACUUGAAGAACAAAUCUUGUUUCAAAUUCUUCACUUGCUUUAAGGAAAGGGUUUUUUAGUAUGGAAUGUUUAAAGAGCACACAGUGGACCAUUGCUGGGGGAAAUUCAAGAUUUUCAGAUGUUUUUUGCAACAGUGUUUUCGAGGGUAAGCUAAACGCAAAGGAUUCAUCAAAAUGUUCAGAUGUCUCUGCAAAAGACUGUAAUAAUAUUUUCGACAGUGGACAAACUGGGGAACAUUUUAGGAAAUAUCAAGAUUUCAAGACAUUUUUGCAACAAUGUUUUUGAGCGUCGACAGUUUCUGGAAACAUCAAGAUAUUAUUAACAUAUUUCUAAACAAUGAAUGUUUUUGGUGGUUGGCAAACAGGGAAUCUUUACCUUCACUUUGGUCCUUUUCAAAUUUUAAAUGGACUAUAUGGUCUUUUUCAAAUUUUAGAUGUUAUACCGUUUUCGUAAUUUAGAACUAUUCUAUUAAAAACAUAUGUAGCAAACCAAAAUGUCGUAUAACAACGAAACGUUAGCUAAUAAAAUUUCAUAAAAUAUGGGUGGUAUAAAAUUAUUUGCCAGGCUCUUUUAUUUGAAUUUUUAAACUACGAUUUCCGCUUGGUGUAUCAAAAGCUACAAACAGGGAAUCAUUCCGGUAAGAUAAAUAUUUUCAUCAGACUUUUCCACAAAAUAAUGUUUCCUAGUUUGCCCUCUUAUGAAAUAAUGAAAUGCAGGUAACAUUGUAGUAUAACAAGAGUUCAUUGAUAGCGAUUUAGUGCAAGUUAAUGCGAAGCUCACGAAGCAAAAUUUAGUUAACUUUUUCUUUGCCAUUGACAAGCGGGGUUUCCUCUUCAGAUUCGUCUUCGACGACGGCUUUCUUUUGUUCCUUGCCUUUCUUUUUGACUUCUUUUUUCUUCGCCGUCUUCUGGCGUUUCGAUUGCAUCACGUCGCUCCAGUAACUGACUUGACGCGAGAUAAACACCCAGGUUAGCCAAGCUUGCAUGGCGAUGAUGCCACUCAGAAAUAUUAUCCUACGGGAAAAAUGUAAGAUGACUGUAAAGAGGGCCCUGAAGGGGUAAAAUGGGAACUGGGAUUGAUCUAUUUUUAGGCUGGGAAAAUGGGAUUUGGGUUGCUGGGACUGGGAUUUGGCCACUGGGAAUGGAAAUGAAGUCCUCAAAAAUGGGAAUGGG